rnacentral:sRNA from 12 species
GACCGUAUGCCAAUAGGGGCAUGCGAAGGACUAAGUGGAGUCAGUUGC